CUGGAUAGCAACAGAAACAGGAAGGGAAACCGCUGAACUUGGAAGAAGCAAGAGAGAAAGAAAGCCAUGUUGUUGAAGUCAUGUGAAUCCCAGGAGCUACACAGUGAUGGUUAGCUAUCGUAUGACUCUCUUAUGAGGAAGAGGGUGUGAUGCCUGCCAGCAAAACCACUUAGGCUGCACUCUAAGAGACCCUGCUCUUUCCCAGAGGGUCUGCUGCUUGCCUACCAAGUACAAGGACAAGCAAAUGAUUUGUAAAGAAAGACUAUUAAUGUCCCUCUCCUGCACAAGUACUUCAAGCAUUCUUGCAGGCACCCUUGGAAGCUAACGAGCGCUUCUUUUGGAGUUCUUUCUGGUCACAGGAGCUGAUUUCAGAAUAUUAAAAGCCUAAACAUCAUAGAGGUCAUGGUGGAAGUCAGUGGACACAGUUCACACCAAACAUCUGCUGUGGAUUUCAAAUAGAGGAAUGGCUUGCAGAUGGAGGCACCCUGUCAUGCCAGUCCACUAAUUUAAUCGUGGAUGCUGAAAAUGCUGUCUGGAAGCUUCCAAGGAUGCACCAUACAACAUUUAAGUUGUGGUGUAAUGAUCAUUGAUAUGUUCGUUGUGUUCAGGAGUAAAUAAGGAAUGAAGUAAGAAUCUGAAAAAGAUUCUGUCUACUUAGAUGAGUUACUGCUCCUAAUUUGAGUACACAGAAGAAAGGAGGUUUUAAUAGGUACGUCCCAUGAGCAAAGAGUACCUACAGAAUAUUUUCAAAAACUAUGUUCUACCACUGAAAAUGCUCAAGUAAACAAUUAUUUCUUAACAAUGUACCCACAUCACUUGGAGACUUUUCCUAAUGCACUUAUUCUGGGUGUGAUGAAACACUUUAAUUUUCCACAACCCUCUGAGUUGACUUUAUCAGAAGCCCAAGCUUCAAUGUGCCUAAUUAAUCCACAGAACCACAGAGUCUCUCACCAGGCUCCACCAGUGACACAUGUUAAUUGAUACUGUGUUCAGCAUCAGCUCCAAAGCAUUAUCAAAUAUGUAAAUAUUAUAUGAUUUUCAAAAGUAAGGUAACCUCCAUUUACUGAGCAGAUGUUGAUGAGAGUAAAUUAAAGCAUGGAUAAAGACUAAAUGAGUCAUUAAAAGUACUUCUUUCAGUCACACAGAUGACAAGCCCAUCACCCAAAGAAUGUGCAAAAUAUUUUGAAAUUCUAGGUCAAAUAUCAUGCUCUAUUUCCAUGAAUCCUUGGAACCUACUUGUUAACACACACACACACACACACACACACACACACACACACACACACACACACACGUAUGUGUUUGAGCAGGUUCAGAAGCUCUUCACAAAGCAAGCUUGAAUUAUCCAUUCUGCUACCACCCUGCUAAAAAACAUACGUCAACUGAUGGAUUAGUUGGGUAUUUGAAGGCAGACACUUAUCAAAUGUCACUUAUUGUAAUGAAAGACAGCUGCACAGAUUUUGUUCAAGGGAAUAUAAAUAGGUUAUUGUCUCCUUAAUAUCCAAAUAGUGAAUUCCAAAGUAGCCCACCACUGGGUUUAGAGGGAUCAUUAGUUGCUCUCAGCUGUCCAAUGACUUGCUCACCUGAAGCUUCUAGCACCCUAUGAAGAGAAUGACAUUUAGACACGGAGAAGAAACCCGAACUCUUAAAAAACCGUGCAGAUGAUUACACCACAGUCUGCAAUAGUAUGUCGUGACUUUUACCUCACGAUU
ensembl:lncRNA